GAUGAACGCUGGCGGCGUGCCUAAUACAUGCAAGUCGAGCGAACGGACGAGAAGCUUGCUUUUCUGAUGUUAGCGGCGGACGGGUGAGUAACACGUGGAUAACCUACCUAUAAGACUGGGAUAACUUCGGGAAACCGGAGCUAAUACCGGAUAAUAUUUUGAACCGCAUGGUUCAAAAGUGAAAGACGGUCUUGCUGUCACUUAUAGAUGGAUCCGCGCUGCAUUAGCUAGUUGGUAAGGUAACGGCUUACCAAGGCAACGAUGCAUAGCCGACCUGAGAGGGUGAUCGGCCACACUGGAACUGAGACACGGUCCAGACUCCUACGGGAGGCAGCAGUAGGGAAUCUUCCGCAAUGGGCGAAAGCCUGACGGAGCAACGCCGCGUGAGUGAUGAAGGUCUUCGGAUCGUAAAACUCUGUUAUUAGGGAAGAACAUAUGUGUAAGUAACUGUGCACGUCUUGACGGUACCUAAUCAGAAAGCCACGGCUAACUUCGUG
rnacentral:rRNA from 1 species